CAAAGGACACUGCUUUGACACCCUGCGAGUUGACCCCCAGAAGCUGACAAGUUUGGCCAGAGGCAGCUCUCCUCAUGUCCAGGGGUUCAUAUGAAGAUGGUGUCAGAAGUCUAGGCAGAAGUGUACUAAGAACAUGGUGUGGCCUCUCCCUAAGCCUUGCUAGGCUGGGUUAAUUACUUCGUCUCUUUCAACUUCAGUUUUUACAUGAAACUGGAGACAUCAACUUUACCACUAACUUCCAAGAGUGUCAUUGUUGGUAUCAGGUUCGGCUCCGAAUCCGGUGACAUCAUACCUAGGAGACAGAGACCCGGACAUCUGUUGCCAAGGCAACCACCACCAUAUUCCCAUAAUCCCCUUGGCUCACUUCUCAUCUCUACCUGUGAACUGCUACUCACUAUCCAAAUAAAAGGAAGACACCUCUGACCUCUUUCCUCCUACCCCUUCACCACCACCUCUGCCCUUUUCUCCUACAAUAAACCUCACUGGGAACUGUUUGGCCUGGUGCGG
rnacentral:lncRNA from 1 species